rnacentral:lncRNA from 1 species
UCGUAUUUUAGUCUCGUUCGCGGAGAAAGAAUAAAACUUGGGCUCGAGCAACCUAUUUUCAGGCCUAAUUUUCGGAUCUAGCCUGUUAUUCCCAAGCCCAUAAUUCCUAGGCUCAUACCUCUUAACCUAAAUAUAACCCUAAACCUAUAAAAAGAAGCUAACACCUAAUGCCUAUGAGCUGAAAAAUACACGAUCAGCUAAAGGAAAUAGACAAAAAAAGACCCUAGACCUAAAAAGAGUUAUAGAAUCCGCUGUUUCAUCAGGAACCCCACCCCCCAACAGUCAUCUUCUUCGACACACCAUUCACACAAAACUUAAGAGCUAAAGAAACCAACUCGUUACACCCUAAAAAUGUGAUCUCCUUCAGCACUUUAGACCCCUAGAGACAAAAAAGCUACAACAGCCAUAUAACUCCAAGAUAGACCCCUCCCCAUCGGAAUUCCAACUUCUUCUUCAUUGGGAUACAAUACAAAACCCUAAAAGCCUAAGUAAAAUAGGAGCGUCUAAGCCUUAGCACACCUAGGACCUUUCUCCUUCACCUUAAGCCAAAUGACCCCAUCUCCCACAACUAGACAGCUUCACGCACACACGCACAUGGUGAAAACAGUGAGGAGUCCAAGAGCUCGUUUAACAUUCUUUUCCGACGAGUCUCGAGUUUUUCUGGUUGAGUUUCGAUGACUAUUCUGUUGGUCCCUUGUCGAGGUUGAAUCCAUCUUGGAACUCGUUUGUGAGAUCUGUUCAGCGCCAGAUAUUGAAGUGUUGAGUUCAUCGAGGUCGGGUGCAUCGAGGUCGAUUUAGAAGUCCGUUUGAGGUCCCAUCACCGGUCUGAGUUUUCAGUCGGUACCUCAUUUGAAUGUCACUUCUUUGUAUGCAGCAGAAGGUUAGAGUUCUAUCAACAAAGGAUUCUUCUUUUAAUUUACUAUUUCCCUUUAAUUAUAUAAGGCUCUGUUUUGGGUUAGAAAUGUCUAAAUGUUGUAUUGCCUUUUCGUUUCUUUCGUUGUUUUGUUUUUCCUUGUUUGAUUGAAAUCAGUUUUGCAAGAAACUGAAAUAUGAACUUCUCAUUCAUGUUGUCAAUUUGGUUAAUUUGAUAAAUCCAUGUUAGGCUAAGAAAGUAAAUAAGUAAAUAAUGUUUUAAAGGAAAUUUAUUUUUUUAAUAAUGUUCAUUUUAGAAUUCUGUUGCUUGGCUGAUGUUCUGUUACUUGUUUUGAUUAUUUUAAUUUCUUAUUUCAUGAAAGAAAGAUGAAUAUUCGUAGUUUGCUUUAGGCGCGUUAAUUAAAUAAAUUAUCAUGGUUGUGGGUAUGGUUCCCGUGACGUAGUUGUGAUGCCUAAUUUCUAAAUUCGGAGGUACAUUUAUGUGAACCAGCCACAAUUUAAUCUUUUUAAUAAAAUAAACACGGUGUGGAUUGUGGGUACGGCUCCCGUGAUAUGAUUCGCAAACGUGUAAUCAAUAAUUAGUUGUAUAAUAAUUGGAUUAUUAAGGCGGUUUAAAGGGAGUAAAAUGCACAUAGGUUUUAAAGAUGUUUUAAAAUAAAAAUAAAUAGGCCAAUAAUAACAGCUGAGCGAUCGUGCUAAAACCACAGAACCCGGGAAUGCCUAACACCUUUUCUCGGAUUAACAGAAUUCCUUACCCGGAUUUCUGUGUUCGCGGACUGAAAACAGAGUCAAUCUUUCCUCGAUUUGGGAUUUUAAACUGAUGACUUGGGACACCAUAAAUUAUCCCAAGGGGCGACUCUGAAUUUUAUAUAAAAUAAUCCCGUUUCGAUUGUCACUUAAAUUGGAAAAAAUUCCUUAUACCCUUCCGGGGGUAGGAAAAAAGAGGUGUGACAAAGGGGAUCCUUGCCAUUAUGUGUAACCCCUAUUGUUGCUCCAACCGUUCUACAAAGGAUAAAUAACAACUCUCUCUCUCUCUCUCUCUCUCUCUCUCUCUCUCUCUCUCUUCUUUCUAGCAUAUCCUCCCGAUACUACUGCUAUAGCUUAUUACCUGUAUGUUUAUUCUUCAUAUAUUGCUUGUUAUUGGCCAUAAAGAGCCUCAUUUAAUUAUAUCCUAACUGUUAGCCCCUUCCUGAUUAUCCCCAAUAGCUCAAGUCCAAGCCCAGACAUCGACCUCGAGGCCCCUCGUCGGUUAGUCCGAGGCCUGGACAGCUAACCCCUCGGUUUGAUUAUAACUCUACUUUAGCUCACAUUUCAUCUUUUAUCUUCACAUAUUUAGCAUCAACUGCUUUAACAACUAGCAUAAAAAUAGAUCAUGUAUUUUUAGAGUCCCAUCAAUAAAUUUAAUUGUUAUUAUCAUUUUCACGGAAAACAGUUUGGUGCCCACCGUGGGGCUAAAAAUAAUAGUGAUUAAUUUCUUGUUGGUUUUGUUACAUAACGCAAGUUAUUUUUACAAUUUUUCUUGUCCAAGAUCUUCGAUUUCAAGUCAAAAUGUUUGGCUCAGUGAACAGAGUUGAGAACGACAACCUUGAAAAGCACGGAGAAAAUCGUGUGGCUAUUCUAAAUAUUGGCGCGCCACUACAGAACACAGACAACGCGCCUGGACCGAUUCCAGCGGACGUGGGUUCGCAAGAUGCACAGCAGGUCGACAAAACCUCACACACCGAUAGGAGCAUACAACAUGGCGACCAACAGGAAACCCAGAAAACCCCAGCUCGGGAAGAACAGGAAGUUAGCCUUCAUGUUAUUUUUGAAAUGUUGCAGGCACAAUAGUUGGCUAUCACUCAGCUGCAAAGCCACCCGAAGACUCCCAGCACGGUAGCACCGGGGACUUCUCCCCCAGCCGAAUAAAUACCUGAGAAAUCGAGCAACAACAGAUCGGUAGCCGACCCUACCAUCGUGAAAAUGCUCGAAGACCUCACCAAAAGGAUCGAAUUGAGCGAGAUUGAUAGUAGCCAACGAUAAUAAGGUCGAGACCUACAACUCCAGGGUCAAGCAUAUCCCGGGUGCACCCCCGGUCCUGAAGGGCGUGGAUUCAAGGAAGUUCAUACAAAGGCCAUUAUGCGAAGAAGCGGCCCCGAAACCCAUUCCAAAGAAGUUCAGAAUGCCAGAACUCCUAAAGUACAACGGGACCUCAGACCCCAAUGAACACGUUACUGCCUACACUUGUGUGGUAAAGGGCAACGAUAUAAAGAAUGAUGAGAUCAAGUCCGUAUUACUAAAAAAGUUCGGGGCAAUACUCUCGAAGGGGGCCAUGAUGUGGUAUCACAACCUAGAUCCCAAUGCCAUAGAUUCAUUUGCCAUGCUAGCAGACUCCUUCAUAAAGGCACACGCCGAUGCCAUCAAAGUAGCAACAAGGAAGUCCGACGUAUUCAAGAUUAAGCAGAGGGAGAAUGAAAUGCUGCGAGAAUUCGUAUCUCGCUUCCAAAAGGAACGAAUUGAACUACCCCCGGUCUCCGAUGACUAGGUGGUGCAGGCCUUCACUCAAGGCCUGAAUGAACGAAGCUCAGUGGCCUCACGGCAACUGAAAGAGAAUCUGAUCGAGUAUCCCGCCAUAACCUGGUCGGACGUCCACAACCGGUACCAAUCAAAGAUUAGGGUCGAGGAUGACCAGAUGGGAGCCCCUUCGGGCUCAGUAUAUCCGAGCAGACUCCUAGCGAAGGAGUCGAAACUAAACAAAGAGAGGUAUCAGUCGUACCCCGAAGAUAGGAGGAAUGCCUCGGGACGCAAUCGCAACGAUCGAUUGGUAAACCGAGGAUAGAACCCUUGGGGACUCAUCAAUAGAGGCGGAUUCGAUGGGGACAUGGGCUAACGGGGGCACCUCGCCUAUCAGAAUACAACUUCAACGUCGACGUAUCAGGCAUCGUGUUCGCCAUCAGCAAAAUCACGGAUGCCAAAUGGCCCAGGCCUAUACAGUCGCAUCCUUCACAAAGGAUUUAUAACUUGAUAUGCAAGUUUCGGCAACUCUGAGAGGAAGUGGCCUGGCUACUCGAUAACAGACACCUUCGGGAAUUCCUCGGCGACCGAGCUAAGAACCAGUCUCGAGAAAGAGAAACAACGAAAAAGAACAAAGUAGACGAAUCCCACCACGUCAUCCACACGAUAUUUUAAGACACGCCCUCGGCUGUAUUCAAAUAAAAGACCACAUCGUGUCCGCCAAACAAACGCCGAAAUCCAAGAGCGCCAUCUCCAAUAAGGUAUAAUCAUCUCCCCUUUUUUUCCUAUUUUUUACUUUAUGAUAACUUCUGUGCAGGCCAUCGACCAAAACAGUCAAGAUGUCGAUCCAGCUCGAGGACCUUGAGGUUUCGAAGCGUCUGUUGCACUCUUUUCCUUCGACCGAGUUUUUAUCCCAAAAUGGGUUUUUACCGACAAGGUCUUUAACGAGGCAACGUUCAAGCGCUACCCAAGGAAGAUCCGAAAAGCGUACAAGGCUUCUUUUGCAAUCAACCCCGAACAUUGGAGGGCACCCCCCUUGAGAGGUCCUCCACUCGGAAGAACCAGGGAACCAUAAACAAGGUUCCAAAAGGAAAUGAUGUACCGGGCCAAACGGUCAAAUGAACCGUGUCCGCAUAAGCCGGGCUCACGGCAACAAAACAACUUGUACUUAUGCCAAACAAUCAAAGAAUAUCUUUCGCCAAAGCAUCUUAUACCCCAAAGAAAAUUCAGCACUUUCACAGCAAGGAUCCCUCCACCAAGAAUGCCCCGAAAUACUCGGAGACUAGCGUCAAUAAGUCGCCACCCGUAUGGCCUCAGGGUUGGAACUCCAUACUCAUAAGCCCUCAACGAGGUAGCACGGAAAUCACGAAACAUCUCCAAAAGGGAAAAAUGUCCCGAACUCUCGGAGAUUGGCAUCGCAAACUCAGAAAGCGCAUGACCCCAGGGUCGGAAUCUCCAAAAUCAUAAGCCCCCAAUGAGGCAAUUCUGAGCUCACGAGCAAUGACCCCCGAUCCUAAGCAAACUCGAUGACUCGGAGACUAUCGCCAAUCACCAUUCACUUAAAAACCCAAGGCCAUAAGACCCCGAGCGGGCAGACUCGGUAUAGUAAGACCUAUUUAAGGCAUCAACAAAACUGUAAGACCUCAAGCAAGGCAUGAAUCAUACUUAUACCAAGUAUCAACAAAACUGUAAGACCUCAAGCAAGGCAUGAAUCAUACUUGUACCAAGUAUCAACAUAAUUGUAAGACCUCAAAAGGCAUGACAAUUUUGUAAGACCUUACUACAGGCAUAAACUCAAUCCCAAAGUUUAGGCUAUAUGUCGCAUUUGUAAGACUCCCGAAAGGGCAUACCCUCAAUAUAGACGCCUAAACUACUAGACUCAGGAUUAAAAAUGGCUCCGGCCAAACACAAAUGAAUAAGGUCAUAUGACUGUACUAGCCGAAUUAAUACGACUCAGGGAUGCCCGACCGUUCCUACAAAAUUAUAGGACAUUACUUCGAAUCUACUUCGAAAAGAACCGGUUAAACAUGCUACCCUCGACAAGCAAAAGAGCUUCGACCAUGUCAGCUCCAAAUCACAAGGCUUCGAGCUACUCAGCCUACGAGCCAAACAUUCCGAGGUGCUUGAACAUCGCCAGAAAUGACUUGAAAUCGAGGUUCUUCCCGAACCGACGACGGGUCAGGCAAAACCAUUUCAAAAAGUCCUUAACGAGAGGAAAACAAAGCCUACAUAUGCCUAAGGGCAAAACAUAAGAGCCAUUGUCGCCAGCCUAAUGAGCCCCAAGGCCACACACACUAAAAGGUCGCAAUGACCAAAAGCGUCAGAGCCACUGUCGCCAGCUUAAAAUUUAAAAGCUUGAGGGUCAAAUGAGCUCGAGUCGUAACCCGAUUCGGAGACCGAACCCAAAAUAGUUAAAUAUACAUGCCUAAGGGCAAAGCGUAAGAGCUAUUGUCGCCAGCCUAAUGAGCCUUAGGGCCGUACCACGGAUUUAAAGAUUUCUACUAGCUCAAAGGUCGAAUUGACCUGGUUGAAAUCUUGACAAAUAGAAACACAGAAGACACAAAUUGCGGGGUUCCCCCUUAUACAUACAGAUGAUAAUAUACAAGCUCCAUUUACAACAUACUGUGAAAGCUAUGUACACAAGAACAAGGCAGGAAGUAAACAUCCCCCCUCUAUGACUAUGGCCCGGUGGCCCUUCCUCGCCAUCUUCAGCAUCGGACAGAAAGAACCAUGCAUCAUACUCCUCCCCUUUGGCUUGCUCGAUCUCUUCCGAGAGAUCAAAGCCCCUGGCGUGAAUCUCCUCGAGAACUUCCCUCUGAGAUUUGCACCUCGCAUACUCCUUGCUACUAUUUGUACGAUCAAGGCCUCUCUUCAGUUCAACUUUAGCAACGACAACACUCUUCAAAUAGGACACCGCUUUCUGUCCCACCCUAGCAUUGCUCACUAAAACCUUGGCCCGGACAUUCACCAACUCGGCCUUCGCCUACAAAAGCUCGGACGAAAGCUUUGCGAUCAAUUCGCCCAUGUAGAAUCAUUCGCACGAACGGUCUGGAUUUGCACCUCAAGAGCAAAAAAUAUGGCUAAAGCACUCUCUUUGACCGCAAAAUGGGUACUUACAUGCGCCUGCAGCUCGUUGAAUUCAAGUUUGGCUCAACCAACCUUUCCCCAGGGCUGUCCCAGCUCAUCCGCUUUGUUCUCCAACUGAAAUAUCAAAACAUCAAGCUGCCGAGAUGAAAGGGGAGUGCAAGCCAGCAUAGAAUGCAAGGUACCUAUUUUUCUAAGCAGAUCUUACGGCUCCGGCUCUGGUCCACCUCGCAUCGUAGGGAAAUCAGCUCGCUUUCUUUUUCCGCACCAAGAAGCUUAAGGGAUUUUUCUCUACCCAAAGCCUCCCGCAAUGGGGCCUCACAGCGAAGCAGCUCAGAUUUGACCCUGUCAAAGGCCUGUGAAAGAAAACUAAAUGAAAAAAGAAAGGCACGGGACCGGAAUAAUCUUACAGUGAUCAAAAACUCACCAUAAGGCCGAGCCAAUAUCCAAUGGCUUACUACCUUCAGAAGGUAGCCGAUCGACCGAAUCGCUUCUUCUUAACUGCUGAGAAGGAGUCUUCCCACUGCAAGCUCUUUCGCACCCUGGAGCAUCUUUUUGUUUGUCUCGAUCUUAAGGCCAGCAAUCUCUCCUCCUGCCCCAGAGGACACAACCUCAUUUCAAAAAAAUCUCUGAUACCUGCAGCUGUUAAGUUAAUAAGCCGACAAGAAAAGCGCUAUUUUUAGGAAACACCGGACACCUACCACGAUUCUUUGCCUCCCAUCUCCUUUGGGACAGAUCUCACCACCGGUGCCUAUCAUAAAUUGAGCAAGUUGCCAACUUACGAGACCACUUAGCUAAAUUAGGGACCUCGUUCGGCGACCAAUGAGUUGCUAAAAAUAUGGGAUGGAAAGAUAUCAUUACGGAGCUCGCCUCCGAUCAAAACGAUGAUAGUUUAGGUGAGACACUUACGUGAGAAGUUCCAUUUCUCAGGAAAUGGCAAAAAUUCUCUAGGGAUGACAUCAGAUGUUCGAAUACGAACGAACCAUUUCAUCCAUCCACGAUCCUCGUCGUCUUUGCUACCGAUGACAGGAGCUCGGGUGGAUCGACGUUGCAGAGCGAUCAAACCCCGAUAACGCAGUAGCCGAUAUAACCUUACAAAAUGACUGAGGGUAAACUAUGAUGACCCAAGAGGUCAUCACUUAUUUCUAAAAUGAAUUCUACAUUCCGAGGCUUUAAAAAACCUCUUUUAGCAGUACCUCGAUUAGUGUGCGCAGUCCGGGCGCAUAGCCGAAAAGCUUAUAUGUGAAGAUCUGUGAAAAAUGAUAAAAUUUGACUAUAAAAUGAAUUAAUUUGACUUCGGUUAAUAUUUUGGGUAAACGGAAUCAGACCCGUGAUUUGAUGGUCCUGGAGGGUCUGUAGGAAAAUAUGGGACUUGGUCGUGUACCCGAAAUCAAAUUACGAGGUCCCACACCCGAGAAAUGAAUUUUUUAAAGAAAAUUGUUUUCUGAAAUUGUUUAAAGGAUUUGGAAAUGAAUUUUGAUUAGAACAUAUUGGUAUCAGGCCCGUGUUUCGGUUCUGGCGCCCGGUAUAGGUAUUAUAUAUGAUUUAAGAUAAUUCUGUGAAGUUUGGUAAGAAACAGAGUCCGUUUGACGGGAUUCGAACCUUAAUUGGAAAGUUUUGUGUUUAAAGAAAUUUUGAGAAAUUUCAUUGAUAUUGAGGUUUAAUUCGAUGUUUUUGAUGUUAUUUUGGUGAUAUGAGUACACGAAUAAGUCCGUGAGAUGUUUUUAAGGUUGUGCGUAUAUUUGGCUUGGAGCCCCGAGGGCUCGGGUGAGUUUUGGAUAGGCCACGGGGUACAUUUUGAACUUAUAAAAUUGCAGAAUUUUAGCUGGUGUACCCAGGACUACAGACUUCGCAAUGCGAGCUCGCAAAUGCAAAGGCUGAAUCGCGAAUGUGAAAACAGCCCAGGCCUGCCUUGCUCGCAAAUGCGAGUAUUCUUUCGCAAAUGAGAAAAUCCCUGUUCAGCCUUGGGCCGCAAAUGUGACCCUGUCAUCGCAAUUCUUAGCUCGCAAAUGUGACCCUCCCUUCGCACUUCCCAACAUAGCAGAGGUCGGCCCUGUUCGCAUUUCCCAUACCUCUGACCUGCAACUUUAUAUUUAGAGGAUUUUUAAACCCAUUUUUCAUAUCCUCUCAAAACAUAAACACCCUAGGAUGAUUUUUCAAAGGCUUAUUCCUCUCCAAAUCAAUUGUAAGUCAUUUUUAACUAGUUUUCUUUAAUCAUCAACAUCAUUUUAACAUGAUUUCAAUUUAAAAUCAAUGAUUUUCAUGGGGGAAAUUGGGUGUUUUGGGUAGAACCUAGGUUUUUUCAAAAAUUGGGGAUUUGGACCUCGAUUUGAGGUCCGAUUUCAAAACAAAUUAUAUAUUUGGGUUCGUGGGAGAAUGUGUAAUCGGGUUUCGAUUUGAACCUGGUUUUGACCAUGUGUGCCUGGGGCGAUUUUUGACUUUUUGCGCAAAACUUAAGGAAAUUCAUUUUUAUGCAUUCAAAUUGAUUCAUUUAGAAUUUAAUGAUGUAAUUAAGUAACUUGUGACUAGAUACGAGCGAAUUGGUAGUGGAAUCAAGGGAUAAAGCUGUAGUUGAAUCAUGAAUUGUGUUCAUGGCAUCAGGGUAAGUGUUUGGUCUAACCUUAGCUUGAGGGAUUAGGAGUUGUGUCCUAUAUGCUAUUUGCUUCUUGUUGAGUACGACGUAUAGGCAUGGUGAUGAGUAUCUAUACGUUGGUGUCGAGCAUGCCCCUGAGUCUUAAAUUGCAAUUUAUUGUGUUCUUAAAUGAUACUACGGAUGCUUUAAUUGAUGAUUCCCGAUAUUGAGCAAGGAUUAAGAUUGUUUUUUGGUGGAAGUUACUUAUGAUAGAGUAUUGGUGUUAACUGAGAUGGUUAGAUGUUGGGUUAAGAUUGGUUAUAGUUGUUUCUCCCUUGCCGGGACAUAUUUACUUUUACUGUCGAAUCCCUUGUCGAGAUACUGUAGUUAUUUGUUGAUCCCUUGCCGGGACUCUUGGUAUGGUUGUUGUUAAAGGUAUAUAAAUAUAAGGAUCGGGUUGCACGCCACAACAAUACUAUAUAUGGAUCGGGUUGCACGCCGCAACAAUGUUAUAUUGGAUAGGGUUGCAUGCCUCAAUAGUGAUAUAAAUGGAUCAGGUUGCACGCCGCAAUAGUGUUAUAUUGGAUCGGGUUGCACGCUGCAACAGUGAUACAAAUGGAUCGGGUUGCAUGCCGCAACAAUGGAAAAUAAUAGGGAUCAGGUUGCGCGCUACAACAGUGUCAUUAUUGUUUUGCUGUAGAUCUUGAAUUGUUCUUUCAUAUUUCUCUUAAGUUUCUACUAGAUUGAUAUUAUCCCCGUAGCAUGUACCCCCUCCCAUUUUAAUUGUUAUUCCUGUUUAUUUUCCUUUGUAUAUUAUAUAACUGCACAUGUUUAUCUGGUGUCUGGUCCUAGCCUCGUCACUACCUCGCCGGGGUUAGGCCAGACACUUACCAACACAUGGGGUCGGUUGUGUUGAUGCUACACUCUACACUAUUUGCAGAUUUCGGAGCAGUUCUUGGACAGUAGCACUUGGGGAGCCUGCCUUCAGUCCAGCUAGAGACCCCGAGGUAGUCAUGUAAGCAUUCAUAGGCCCGACGUUCUCGUCUACCUUAUUAUGUACUCUGUUUUCAUUUGAUUUUGAGAUAGAUUGUAUUUCUUUCAGACAAUUGUUGAAGUAAUCUUAGUCUGUCCGUGAUAUUGUGACAUCGGAUUCCAGGUAGAGAUGUGUGUUAUUUUUAUCGUACUGGUUUUGGUUAUUAUAUCAGAUUAAGUCUUCCGCUUCUUUCCAUUUACUGUUAAUAUCUAAAUGUCGAUUACCUAUUAAUUUAGAUUGUUAAAAAGGGUUUAAAACAAUGAAAGAGUUGGCAGUUUCUAUGUUUAGCGGUUUGCCUAGCUUUUAUGAGUAGGCACCAUCACGACUCCCGAGGGUGAGAAAUCUAGGUCAUGACAAGUUGGUAUCAGAGCUCUAGGUUACAUAGGUCUCACAAUUCACGGACAAGCUUAGUAGAGUUUGAGGGAUCGGUACAGAGAUGUCUGUAUUUAUCCCCUAGAAGCUACAGAGUUUGGAAAGGCUUCACAUUUAUUCUCUCCUAUCGUGCGGUUUGGUUUCUCAAUGCUAAUUAAAAUUAAAAUUUUACUCUGUUCUUUCACAGAUGGCGAGAACACGAACUUCCUCAUCCACUAACCAGCAGCCCGAGCCCCCAGCAACAGCUUCCACGAGGUGCAGAGAGCGAGGUCGAGGCCAUGCUAGAGGCCGAGGUAGGGGCAGAGCUCAGCCUAGAGCUGCAGCACCAGCGGCGGAGCCUCGGGUUGACUUUGAUGAUGAGGUUCCGGCCC